UACGUAGGGGGCAAGCGUUGUCCGGAUUUAUUGGGCGUAAAGAGCGUGUAGGCGGCUAGGUAGGUCCGUUGUGAAAACUCGAGGCUCAACCUCGAGACGCCGAUGGAAACCAUCUGGCUAGAGUCCGGAAGAGGAGAGUGGAAUUCCUGGUGUAGCGGUGAAAUGCGUAGAUAUUGGGAGGAACACCAGUGGCGAAGGCGGCUCGCUGGACCGGUUCUGACGCUGAGGCGCGAAAGCGUGGGGAGCAAACAGG
rnacentral:rRNA from 1 species